rnacentral:rRNA from 1 species
CCUACGGGAGGCAGCAGUGGGGGAUAUUGCACAAUGGGGGGAACCCUGAUGCAGCGACGCCGCGUGGGUGAAGAAGCGCCUCGGCGCGUAAAGCCCUGUCAGCAGGGAAGAAAAUGACGGUACCUGAAGAAGAAGCCCCGGCUAACUACGUGCCAGCAGCCGCGGUAAUACGUAGGGGGCAAGCGUGAUCCGGAUUUACUGGGUGUAAAGGGGGCGCAGACGGCGGUGCAAGCCAGGAGUGAAAGGCCGGGGACCAACCCCGGGACUGCUCUUGGAACUGCGUGGCUGGAGUGCAGGAGGGGCAGGCGGAAUGCCUGGGGUAGCGGUGAAAUGCGUAGAUAGCAGGAGGAACACCGGUGGCGAAGGCGGCCUGCUGGACUGCAACUGACGUUGAGGCGCGAAAGCGUGGGGAGCAAACAGGAUUAGAUACCCUGGUAGUC